GGCCUUGUAGUGUAACGGUUAUCACAUGAGAUUCUGACUACAACUCUCGUUCUCAAGACCUAGGUUCGACUCCUAGCUAGGCCU
rfam:Phlebia centrifuga strain FBCC195 PHLCENscaffold_1576, whole genome shotgun sequence.